rnacentral:rRNA from 1 species
UACAGUGGGGGGCAAGCGUUGUUCGGAAUUACUGGGCGUAAAGGGCUCGUAGGUGGCCAACUAAGUCAGACGUGAAAUCCCUCGGCUUAACCGGGGAACUGCGUCUGAUACUGGAUGGCUUGAGAUUGGGAGAGGGAUGCGGAAUUCCAGGUGUAGCGGUGAAAUGCGUAGAUAUCUGGAGGAACACCGGUGGCGAAGGCGGCAUCCUGGACCAACACUGACGCUGAGGAGCGAAAGCCAGGGGAGCAAACGGG